UACGGGGGGGGCAAGCGUUGUUCGGAAUUACUGGGCGUAAAGGGCUCGUAGGUGGCCAACUAAGUCAGACGUGAAAUCCCUCGGCUUAACCGGGGAACUGCGUCUGAUACUGGAUGGCUUGAGUUUGGGAGAGGGACGCGGAAUUCCAGGUGUAGCGGUGAAAUGCGUAGAUAUCUGGAGGAACACCGGUGCCGAAGGCGGCGUCCUGGACCAACACUGACACUGAGGAGCGAAAGCCAGGGGAGCAAACGGG
rnacentral:rRNA from 1 species